GACAAUGCUGACCAACAUGGUGACACCACUGCACUUUAGUUCUCUGAUCAAAGGGUGCUUCGUUUGUUACCAUUCAACAAAAACUUUGUUAACAUUUUGAACAUGUUCAGCUAUUACUGAAACCGGGAAAUGGAAAAUCCUUGAUGGAUUUUAAGCAGUGAACCAGCAGAAUCAGAAUCAUGUUUAGGACCAUAGAACAGGUAAUGAGAAGCAACCUGCAGGAAUAACUAUUAAGGCCAAGAAGGGAUGGUGACCUGAUUUUUGGAAGCAAUAAUGAAGUUGGAGAAAGCUGAAUUGGUCUAAAAAAUAUUCACAAUGUAAAAUCAACAGAACCUGGUGAUUGAAUCUGUGGAGCAAGCAAGUAAAUUAGAGAAAAGAAUCAAGGAAGACCCCAACAGUUUUCUAAUUUGAACAACUCAACAUAUGGCAGUGUCAUUCACUGAGAAUCAGUAUUGGAAGAAGAAAUUAUGAGGGGGAAGUGGUUCAAUGGUAGAUAAAACACUGGGACCCCAAAGUGGUCCACAUCCUGCUUGCCAGAAAGGACUUUGCAGACGUGAUUAAAUUCAGGACCUUAAGAUAAAGAGAUCGCCUGGACAGUACAGUUAGGCCCUACGUAAUCAUAAGAAGAAAGAGGCAUGGAAACUCGGAGUCUGAGAAGGAGAUACAGAAGCAGAAGUUGGAGUGACGUGAGAAAAAGCUGAGGCUGGGAAAGGCUACUGCAUUUGUGAUCAUUUGUUACAAGAGCCUCAGAGACAGAGAAGUGACACAGCCAUGAGUUUUAAGGUCUGUGGGACAUUGGAGUCACAGGGCUGAUUCCAAUAUAUGGUAUAUAGAAACUUCCCAGAUAUGAUAUGGAAACUCUAAAAGGUGUUGAACCACCCUUGCACCCUGGGGACAAAUCUUAAAAGACAACCUACAGAAUGGG